rnacentral:rRNA from 1 species
GAUCAGUGGCGAACGGGUGAGUAACACGUGAGUAACCUGCCCUUGACUCUGGGAUAAGCGUUGGAAACGACGUCUAAUACCGGAUACGACCUUCGGAGGCAUCUCCUGGGGGUGGAAAGAAUUUCGGUCAAGGAUGGACUCGCGGCCUAUCAGCUAGUUGGUGAGGUAAUGGCUCACCAAGGCGACGACGGGUAGCCGGCCUGAGAGGGUGACCGGCCACACUGGGACUGAGACACGGCCCAGACUCCUACGGGAGGCAGCAGUGGGGAAUAUUGCACAAUGGGCGCAAGCCUGAUGCAGCAACGCCGCGUGAGGGACGACGGCCUUCGGGUUGUAAACCUCUUUUAGUAGGGAAGAAGCGAAAGUGACGGUACCUGCAGAAAAAGCACCGGCUAACUACGUGCCAGCAGCCGCGGUAAUACGUAGGGUGCAAGCGUUAUCCGGAAUUAUUGGGCGUAAAGAGCUCGUAGGCGGUUUGUCGCGUCUGCUGUGAAAACUGGAGGCUCAACCUCCAGCCUGCAGUGGGUACGGGCAGACUAGAGUGCGGUAGGGGAGAUUGGAAUUCCUGGUGUAGCGGUGGAAUGCGCAGAUAUCAGGAGGAACACCGAUGGCGAAGGCAGAUCUCUGGGCCGUAACUGACGCUGAGGAGCGAAAGCAUGGGGAGCGAACAGGAUUAGAUACCCUGGUAGUCCAUGCCGUAAACGUUGGGAACUAGAUGUAGGGACCAUUCCACGGUUUCUGUGUCGCAGCUAACGCAUUAAGUUCCCCGCCUGGGGAGUACGGCCGCAAGGCUAAAACUCAAAGGAAUUGACGGGGGCCCGCACAAGCGGCGGAGCAUGCGGAUUAAUUCGAUGCAACGCGAAGAACCUUACCAAGGCUUGACAUAUACCGGAAAAGUUCAGAAAUGUUCUCCCCGCAAGGUCGGUAUACAGGUGGUGCAUGGUUGUCGUCAGCUCGUGUCGUGAGAUGUUGGGUUAAGUCCCGCAACGAGCGCAACCCUCGUUCUAUGUUGCCAGCACGUAAUGGUGGGAACUCAUAGGAGACUGCCGGGGUCAACUCGGAGGAAGGUGGGGAUGACGUCAAAUCAUCAUGCCCCUUAUGUCUUGGGCUUCACGCAUGCUACAAUGGCCGAUACAAAGGGCUGCAAUACCGUAAGGUGGAGCGAAUCCCAAAAAGUCGGUCUCAGUUCGGAUUGAGGUCUGCAACUCGACCUCAUGAAGUCGGAGUCGCUAGUAAUCGCAGAUCAGCAACGCUGCGGUGAAUACGUUCCCGGGCCUUGUACACACCGCCCGUCAAGUCAUGAAAGUCGGUAACACCCGAAGCCAGUGGCCUAACCGCAAGGAAGGAGCUGUCGAAGGUGGGAUCGGUGAUUAGGACUAAGUCGUAACAAGGUA